UAAAAAAAUAGUAAGAGCAUAUGGUGAAUGCCUUGGAAAAUGGAGCCGAAGAAGGACGUGACUACCUGCGAUAAGUCUGGGGGAGCUGGAAGUGAGCUUCGAUCCCGGAAUUUCCGAAUGGGGAAACCUGACAUGAUUUAUCUCAUGUUAUCUAUAAGUAAAUACAUAGCUUAUAAGAAGGGAACCUAGGGAACUGAAACAUCUUAGUACCUAGAGGAAAAGAAAAUAAUAAUGAUUCUGUUAGUAGCGGCGAGCGAAAACGGAACAGGCCAAACCACUUUACGGAGUGGGGUUGUAGGACUUUUGUUCGAGUUAGAAAGUCAUUAUAUAAUAGAAGCUACUGGGAAGUAGCGCCAUAGAGGGUGAUAGCCCCGUAUAUGAAAUGUAAUGACCUCAAAAAAGUAUCCUGAGUACGGCGAAACACGUGAAAUUUUGUCGGAAUCUGCCAAGACCACUUGGUAAGCCUAAAUACUACCAUUUUACCGAUAGUGAACCAGUACCGUGAGGGAAAGGUGAAAAGCACCCCGAAAGGGGAGUGAAAUAGUCCCUGAAACCAUAUGCUUACAAGAAGGUAGAGCCCGUUAAUGGGUAAUACCGUGCUUUUUGUAGAAAGAGCCGGCGAGUUACUAUUGCAUGCAAGGUUAAGUUGAUAUAAACGGAGCCGAAGUGAAAGCGAGCCUUAAUAGGGCGUUUAGUAUGCAGUAGUAGACACGAAACCAGGUGAUCUAGCCAUGAGCAGGUUGAAGUUAGGGUAAAACCUAAUGGAGGACCGAACCAGUAUUCGUUGAAAAGACUUUGGAUGACUUGUGGCUAGCGGUGAAAUUCCAAUCGAACCUGGAGAUAGCUAGUUCUCCCCGAUAUAUCUUUAAGGAUAGCGUUGUGUGAAUUGUUGUGGAGGUAGAGCACUGAAUCUAUGAUGGCUGCACCUAGCGGUACUGAUUAGAAUUAAACUCCGAAUGCCAUAAUUUGUGCACAGCAGUCAGAACAUGGGUGAUAAGGUUCAUGCUCGUGAGGGAAACAGCCCAGAUCGUCAGCUAAGGUCCCUAAGUGUAAACUAAGUGUGUAAGGAUGUGGAACUGCACAGACAGCUAGGAUGUUGGCUUAGAAGCAGCCAUCAUUUAAAGAGUG
rnacentral:rRNA from 1 species